UAGCAUAUCAAUAAGCGGAGGAAAAGAAACCAACCGGGAUUGCCUCAGUAACGGCGAGUGAAGCGGCAAGAGCUCAAAUUUGAAAUCUGGCCCCUCCGGGGUCCGAGUUGUAAUUUGCAGAGGAUGCUUCGGGUGCGGCCCCUGUCUAAGUGCCCUGGAACGGGCCGUCAGAGAGGGUGAGAAUCCCGUCUUGGGCAGGGUGCCCGUGCCCGUGUGAAGCUCCUUCGACGAGUCGAGUUGUUUGGGAAUGCAGCUCAAAAUGGGUGGUAAAUUUCAUCUAAAGCUAAAUACCGGCCGGAGACCGAUAGCGCACAAGUAGAGUGAUCGAAAGAUGAAAAGCACUUUGAAAAGAGAGUUAAACAGCACGUGAAAUUGUUGAAAGGGAAGCGCUUGCAACCAGACUCGGCCUCGGGGUUCAGCCAGCAUUCGUGCUGGUGUACUUCCCCGGGGCCGGGCCAGCGUCGGUUUGGGCGGCCGGUCAAAGGCCCCAGGAAUGUAUCGUCCUCCGGGACGUCUUAUAGCCUGGGGUGCAAUGCGGCCAGCCUGGACCGAGGAACGCGCUUCGGCACGGACGCUGGCGUAAUGGUCGCAAACGACCCGUCUUGAAACACGGACCAAGGAGUCUAACAUCUACGCGAGUGUUCGGGUGUCAAACCCGUACGCGCAGUGAAAGCGAACGGAGGUGGGAGCCCCCCCGGGGCGCACCAUCGACCGAUCCUGAUGUCUUCGGAUGGAUUUGAGUACGAGCGUAGCUGUGGGGACCCGAAAGAUGGUGAACUAUGCCUGAAUAGGGUGAAGCCAGAGGAAACUCUGGUGGAGGCUCGCAGCGGUUCUGACGUGCAAAUCGAUCGUCAAAUUUGGGUAUAGGGGCGAAAGACUAAUCG
rnacentral:rRNA from 1 species